GGAGCAGUGGCCACAACUGAGGAGCAGGUACUGAUGUAGGUAGAGACCUGGUUUCCCCUGCAGAGUAGGGCAGGACCUGUGUCAAUGGAACAAAGCUCUGGGAACCAAGGUUCCAUCUGGAUGCCAGGAAGUACUUCCUGACAGUUAGGACUCUCAGGGUAAGAAA